UAGGCCAUGAACCACUUAAUGAUGACGGU
rnacentral:piRNA from 1 species